GAUGAACGCUAGCGGCAGGCCUAAUACAUGCAAGUCGAGGGGUAACAGGAAGUGCUUGCACUUCGCUGACGACCGGCGCACGGGUGAGUAUCGCGUAUACAAUCUGCCUCAUACUAGGGAAUAGCCCGAAGAAAUUUGGAUUAAUGCCCUAUAGUAUCUUUUUAAGGCAUCUUAUUAAGAUUAAAGGUUACGGUAUGAGAUGAGUAUGCGUUCUAUUAGCUAGUAGGUGUGGUAACGGCACACCUAGGCUACGAUAGAUAGGGGCCCUGAGAGGGGGAUCCCCCACACUGGUACUGAGACACGGACCAGACUCCUACGGGAGGCAGCAGUAAGGAAUAUUGGUCAAUGGACGAAAGUCUGAACCAGCCAUGCCGCGUGCAGGAUGACUGCCCUAUGGGUUGUAAACUUCUUUUAUAUAGGAAGAAACCCCUCUACGUGUAGAGGGUUGACGGUACUAUACGAAUAAGCACCGGCUAACUCCGUG
rnacentral:rRNA from 1 species